UACGGAGGAUUCGAGCGUUGUCCGAAUUUAUUGGGCGUAAAGCGAGCGCAGGUGGUUUAUUAAGUCUGGUGUAAAAGGCAGUGGCUCAACCAUUGUAUGCAUUGGAAACUGGUAGACUUGAGUGCAGGAGAGGAGAGUGGAAUUCCAUGUGUAGCGGUGGAAUGCGUAGAUAUAUGGAGGAACACCGGUGGCGAAAGCGGCUCUCUGGCCUGUAACUGACACUGAGGCUCGAAAGCGUGGGGAGCAAACAGG
rnacentral:rRNA from 1 species